rnacentral:ncRNA from 2 species
UAGCAAAGCUAAGCGCCAUGCACCUUUUACCGGGAACGUGAACAGCAGAACAGCUGCUGCCGGUGAGAAGGUUAACGAGGAGGAGAGAUAAUCGAAACAUUCGGCGGAUACUCUCCCAUGCGGUCCGGGCGUGUGAUAUACCGUUAAAUAUGCGGGUAACUGCAAAACAGAAGCGGUAUAACCGGACAGG